AUGUACCUCAUUUGGUUGCAUUUAUCUUAUGAUCUUUAAGAGCCUAAGACAUUGUGCGAGUAGAGGUAUUAUUUGUCAUUUUGCCACAAAUCUAACUAAAUGAAUUGAAACAAUAUGUUAUAAAAAUAGUAUAUAAAAGAAAAACCUAAAAGCAAUAUAGAUUCAUUUUGUUCUUUACCAUGGCAUAUAAAAGAUAUAUGAGCAUCGUUCGAAACUUUAUAUAAAAAAACAAAACCUUUUAAAAAAUACGUUGGAACAAUAAUAACAAAAGUUUAAAAUAUUUGUAGUAUUUUUUAUCAAAGUUAAAUGAAUUAUUAGUGAAAGUAAUUUGAAGUUCUAGUUUAUUAAAAUCAACUUUUGAAGGUGUGUAUAAAAAAAUAACCGUAAAUGUAAAGCAUGUAGAUUUUUUUUAAACCGCAAAACAAAGCAUACUAUUCCACCACCAAACAAAAACAAAACCAAAGUUGGCUAAAGGAUUAAAAUGGGGAAUAUAACAAAAUAACAAACCACCCACUACUAUCUCAGAUUACAUCUACAUAACAGUACAUUAACCAAAAUUCAUCCAAUUGAAACUGUUUCAAAUUUUGAUGGGUAAAACUGACCGUCUUUGAUCUUUUUACCGCCUACCAAUUCGUUGACUCUUCAAUAUUGUCCACCAUUUUUUAAGUCAUCAUGUUAACGCCUUUGAAAACCUUUUCGUUUCUACCAAUUCACUACCUCCAAGCCGUUUCUAAAAAAAUAUUGCGCACAUUAUUUCCUCUUUCUUUGUAGGCACCCCUAAUUCAAGACAGCAUAGAAGCAGCCAGUUCAAAGAAUCAAAGUGAUUUGGGAUUGGAACUUUGAACCAAACACAUAUUUACCACCAAACUAUUUUCACCACAAUACAUGAGGUGAGAAGAUGGUUUUCUAAUUCGGUGUGUAUCCCGCAAGCCAGACACAAUACAUCUCCCACUUGGAUGCCUCUCGCGAUCAAACCUUCAGUUGUAAGAAUUUUGUUACUUACCACCCUCCAUGAAAAAUAGUUUACUUUCGAGAGAUUGAGCUCCACUUAAAAGGUUGGACUUGCACAUUCGUACUGAGGCCAUCUUAUAACUCCUUUCUCACUUGCUUGAUUGAGAACUUCGUUGUGCCUCCACCUCCAUCCUAUAACAACCUAUCUUCUUUGUCCUUUAUUUACUGCUGGAUUAACAUAUCCAUAAGCUCCUGAUGAGAUUCCAUCUUCUCGUUUUCCGAUGUAGACGUGCGCUUCCAAUGCCAAUCCCAAACCGCUUUACCAUUCAAGCAUGUAGAUAACCCAUUUGACCACAUCCUACAAACACACAUACACGUGGCAACAAUGUAAAAGUCAUUAUUUUUACCAACAGUUGCAAAUUAGCAAUUAAAGUAUUUUUACCAACAGUUGCAAAUUAGCAAUUGAAGUAUUAGAAAAAUAGGUAUGCCCUUACUGCUUAGUCCUUAUCCAGACUCCAUUCAUUGCUAAAAAGAUUAGAUAACCCGUGU
rnacentral:lncRNA from 1 species